UGGAGGGAGAGAGGGAAUGACCACCGUCCCAUGAGUGUUGGGCUGGGUUCACUGGGGUUAGGGUCACCAAGGGUAGGAGCCAUUUCCCCAUUGACCCACCUAUGCAUCACACCACAGAAAUAUCCCGGUGCUCUGUUUAUCUCCCACCCCUCCCCCGACACAGCGGAAGGACGUAAGUUUUCACGCAUAGUGGACAGAGGACUUAGACCGAAUGAGAUGUUGGUUGGCCUCAUCUCCCCAAGCUGUCUAGAAGCUGCUUAAGGGCAGGCCCCACAACUGGUUGGUUCAUCUCUAUGUCCGCAGUGCAAAACGUCGCAUCUCUUAAGGCAAUUAGUGUCUGUCCGAAUUCUUGGGGAAGCUGAGGAAACCAGGGCUGUGACUGUAAUAUUCUGCUGUACCUAUGAUCUGUGCCCAUGAUGCUCUGCUGUAUCCAUGAUGCUGUGCCCAUGAUGCCAUGUCAUGCUCUCUGUACCUUGCCAUGCCUGUGACACUAUGCCCUCUCCCUGGGAUUCUGCAGUCUUCCUGGCUGCUCUAGAAGCCAGGGAGAUUCCACCCCAUGUAAAAUGCUCCUGGGGUGGCCUGCUGACCUGGAUUCUCCUCUCAACAUCUUGAGCCCAACCACCUCUGCUGUCAAACUACACAUGGCCCAGGUGACUUCUCUCACAAAUGGGAGAGGGAAUCAGAGCAUUUCAUAGUCAGAGCAGAGGCCCUGGGGAGAUGCCCAUC